AAGAAAGAGGAAAUCAAACAAGAAAGACCACUUGAUUUGACAAGAAAAAGAAAAAGAGAAGAAGAAAAUGAAUGCCCGCUUCUACAAAAUUUAUUGAUGGGGGAUUAUUUAAACAGAAGGAUGGUACAACCAAUCAGAGUUCGAUCAACAAAGGAAGAAAUAAUAAAAAUAAAAAAACAAUUAUUGAAGGUAGAAAAAGAUGUGCAUGAUAUAAUAAUGCACAUGCCCUUCUAAAAAAAAAAAAAAAAAAAAAAAAAAAACUAUUAUAUUUGUAUGAUGGUCAGUAUAUUGAUACAUAUUGAUGCUCCCAUUGAAGACAAUUCGGAUAAUUGGGAAAACGAGUUACUGAUCAACUGAUGAAUCCGAAGAUAAUCGC